rnacentral:lncRNA from 1 species
GUGAGCCACUGCACCCAGCUGAUGGGAGAAAAUAUUUACAAAUCAUUUAUCUGAUAAGGCACUAAUAUCCAGAAUAUAUAGAGAACUCCUAAAACUCUAAGACAAAAAACUCAAUUUAAAAAUGGGCAGAGGACAUGAAUAGACAUCUCUCCAAAGAUGAUCUACAAAUGGUCAAUAAGCAAAUGAAGAGAUUCCCAACAUCAUUUAUUACUGAGGAAAUGCAAAUUAAAACUAUAAUAGGACAUCACCUCACACCCAUUAAGAUGACUACUAUCAAAAAAACCCCAAAAUAACAAGUAUUGGCAAGGAUGUGGAGAAUCUGGAACCCUGGAGAACUAUUGAUGGGAAUAUAAAAUGACACAGUUCCUAUGAAAAACACGAUAAGAGUUCCUCAAAAAAUUAGAAAUAGAAUGACUGUAUGAUCCCACAUUGCAACUGUGGGUAUAUACCCAAAAUAAUGGAAAUCAGGGUCUUGAAAAUAUAUUUGUAUACUCAAGUUCAUAGCAGCGUUAUUCACAACAGCUAAAAUGCAAAAUCAGUUCAAGUGCCUACCAAUGAACAAACAGAUAAGCAGAAUAUUAUUUAGCCUUAGAAAGAAAGGAAAUUUCACCUUACAAAGGAAGGACAUAUGCUAUAAUAUGGAUCACCCUUGAGGACAUUAUGCUAAGUAAAAUAAGCCAGUCACAAAACACAAAGAUUGUGUCAUUCCACUUAGAUGAGGUACUUAGAAUAGUCACAUUCAGAGAGACAGACAGCAGAUUGGUGGUUGCCAGAAGCUGGGGGGAGCAGAAAUGGGGAGUUGUUGUUUAAUGAGUGCACAGUUUCAGUUUCACAAGAUGAAGUGUUAUGGAGAUGGAUGGGGUGACGUUUAUACAUGAUGAAUGUUUUUAAUGCCACUCAACUGUACACUUUAAAAUGGCUAAGAUGGUAAAUUUUAUGUUAUAUGUAUCUUUUUUUUGAGGCAAAGUCUUGCUCUGUCAUUUCUUUUACUAUACCUUUUAAGGUGUCUUUUUAGCAGAUGCCCUAGGGAUUACAAUUAAUAUCUUAAUUUAUAACAACUGAUCUCAGAUUAAUUAUAAUUUAAUGUCAAUGGUAUACAAAAACUUUGCGCAUAUAUAGCUCUGUUCCCUCCUCCUCCUCUGUGCUAUCACUGUCAUAUAAUUUAAAUGUUUACACAUCAUUUGACUACCAGCACAGAUGUCUAAUCAUCACUCUCUGCAGUUGUCUUUUAAAUCAGGUAGGAGAAAAAAGAGCUACACACAUAAACUAUUUAUUUUUACACUGCCCUUUGAAAAUGUUUUCCCCAAUUUUUUAUUGUAAUAAAAUACACAUAACAGGCCAGGCACAGCAACACACGCCUAUAAUCCCAGCACUUUGGGAGGCCAAGGCUAGUGGAUCUCCUGAGGUCAGGAAUUUAAGACAAGCCUGGCCAACACGAUGAAACACCGUCUCUACUAAAAAAUACAAAAAAAAAAAAAUUAGCCAGGCGUGGUGGCGGGUGCCUGUAAUCCCAGCUACUCAGGAGGCUGAGGCAGGAAAAUUGCUUGAAACUGGGAGGAGGAGGUUGCAGUGAGCCAAGAUCACACCACUGCCUGGGCAACAGAGCAAGACUCCGUCUCAAAAAAAAAAAAAAAAAAAAAAAAGAAAUGACAAAUAUGUUGAAAUGAGACACUAGGAAAUAUCUAUUUAACACCAAAGAAGGCCAUAUGGAAACAGAGGAACAAAAAAAACCUAAGAUAUGGAAAACAAAUAGCAAAUGGUGUGCCUAAAUUCUCCCUUAUCAACUCAGUAUGUAGUGUCAACUAAAUGUUAAUUAAACACUCCAGUUAAAAAGCAGCGGAUAGAAGGGCUGACUUUUAAGAACCAUGAUUCAACGCACAUUCAAAGACACUCUGAAGUAAAAGAGCAAAGAUAGAAUAGUAAGCAGAAGAGAGCUGGAGUGACUGUGACAAUAUGAAAGAAAACAGACCUUCGGACAAAAGUUGUUAAAACAGACAAGGAUAUUUUAUAGUGAUAAAAGGGUACAUCCAUCAAGAAAAUAUCACCGUUAUCAACAUAUGUGCACCUGACACAGAGCCCCAAGAUACAUGAAGCCAAAGCGGAAAUGAUGAAGGGCAAAAUGGACAAUUCAACAAUAACAGCUGGAGACUUCCAGCUUUCAAUAGCCCAUUUCCAAUCAUGGAUAAAGCAACAGGACAGAAAAUCAAAAGUCAGUAGAAGACGUCAACAGGCUCUAACCCACCUAGACUUGGCAGACGUCUGUAGAAUACUCCACCAACAACUGCAAAGGUUGUUGUGCCCAUUAUUCUCAAGUGCACGUGGAAUGUCUGACAGAAUAAACCCGAUGUUGUCAUAAAAUAAAUCUCAACAAAUUUAAAAUGAUUGAAAUCAUGCAAAGUAUGUUCUCUUACCACAAUUGAAUGAAAUUACAAAUCAAUAACAGAAAGAAAUUUGGGUAAUUAAAAAAUAUGUUAAUAAAACACUGAACUCCUUAGUAUCCAAUAGGGCAAAGAAGCAUUCACAAGAGAAUUUAGAAGAUAGUUUGAGAUAAAUGGAAAUGAAAACACAAUAUACUAAAAUACAGAUGAAGCUAAACAGUGCUUACAGGGAAAUGUACAGCUGUGGAUACUUACACUAAAUAAAAAGAGAUCUCAAAUCAAUAACCCAACCUUCCACCUAAAGAAACGAGAAAAAAACAGCACAGUAAGUCAAAGCAAGCAGAAGGAAAUAAUAAAUAGUAGAGCAGAGAUAAAUUACAGUAGAAAAAUAAUUUAAAAGAUCAAUUAAAACAGACCGGGUAUGGUGGCUCACACCUGUAAUCCCAGCACUUCAGGAGGCUAAGGCAGGCAGAUCUCUUGAGCUCAGGAGUUCAAGACCAGCAGGGGCAAACGGUAAAACCCCAUCUCUACAA